UACGUAGGGUGCAAGCGUUAAUCGGAAUUACUGGGCGUAAAGCGUGCGCAGGCGGUCCGCUAAGACAGAUGUGAAAUCCCCGGGCUUAACCUGGGAACUGCAUUUGUGACUGGCGGGCUAGAGUAUGGCAGAGGGGGGUAGAAUUCCACGUGUAGCAGUGAAAUGCGUAGAGAUGUGGAGGAACACCGAUGGCGAAGGCAGCCCCCUGGGCUAACACUGACGCUCAGGCACGAAAGCGUGGGGAGCAAACAGG
rnacentral:rRNA from 1 species